rnacentral:rRNA from 1 species
CGGGUGAGUAACACGUGGAUAACCUACCUAUAAGACUGGGAUAACUUCGGGAAACCGGAGCUAAUACCGGAUAAUAUAUUGAACCGCAUGGUUCAAUAGUGAAAGACGGUUUUGCUGUCACUUAUAGAUGGAUCCGCGCCGCAUUAGCUAGCUGGUAAGGUAACGGCUUACCAAGGCAACGAUGCGUAGCCGACCUGAGAGGGUGAUCGGCCACACUGGAACUGAGACACGGUCCAGACUCCUACGGGAGGCAGCAGCU